UCAAUUUUCUCCUUUUGUUUAUUUUUGUCCCUUGGUUUAUUUAGUAAGAAAAAGAUAGAAGAGAGAAAGUGUUGGCUCCGUAGAUUUGAGGUAUGAAAAGGAACUUAUAUAAUUUUCUUUGGAAAUAGAUGGUGAGUAAAUUCUUAAUCCUUUUUUGUUGAUUUUCAGCCUGGUACUAACCUGGACCAAAAAAAUUCUAAGCAAGCUUUUCCCUUUUGGUUUGCUUUUGUUUCUUUGCCAAAAGGAGAGGACACUGAUGUCAAAAGAGAUGAUCUUGCAAGGGCUCUAAUGGUAGCUUUCUCAUCAACACCUCUUCUUGAGCCAUAUGUCAUUCCCUUGCUUCUUGAAAAACUCUCUUCUUCUCUGCCAUCAUCAAAGGUUAGUGCCAUCACAAAGAAUUUAUAUGAUUACAUAGGCAAUAGAAUUAAUUUUUUUGUUGUAGAAAGUAUAUUUGUAUCAAUUUUCAUGCUGACUCUUUAUGUAUUUUCUUGAAUUCCUGAAUGACUUGUAUUUUCUUUAACACAUUGCUUCAUCCUUCCUAGUAGUACACAUUGCUGCUUUGUUAAGUCCAGACCUCAUUUGAUGCACUUGCUGUUUUUUUUUUUUAAUGUUACAUUUGAAGUCUGUUAAAAUAGUUAAAAUAAAAUUGUGUUGGCUUGGUGUGAUUAUGUGUAAAUUUCCCUGUCAAUUUACUUCAGGAACUUUCAUAUCUUAUAAAAAUUAUCUAUACAUAUGCAUACACACUUUCAAAACUUGCAAGCCUACUGGUACACAUUAUGCAUUUUGGCCACUUUACAGUAAGUUAAAGUCACUAAUUCUUAUUGCAGAGCUUGGUGAUUUGUCAUUUAUUACAACUAUUUUUUUCUAGUUUUGUUGAUUAAUGACUUUCAUAGUUUCUUCUUUGGUUUUGUAAGAUUUCUUGCUGAAUUAUGAUCGAUUUGGAAUUUCCAAUCAAUGUGUUUUAUGUUUGUUUCAUGACUGUUCUUUGGGUGGCCAUUAUUUCUAUCGCAAUGGUGGUUUCAUGCCAUUUUAUUGAAUUAUGAUAUUUGCCUGACAAUGUCUUCUUCUUUUUGAAUGUUUACAAGUAAAAUGUGCUAGAAUCAUGUAUGUUUCUUUUACUUAUUAUUAUAAUUUUUUUUGCCUUUUUUAUUUAUUUGGUUGUUCUUUACUUGUGGUUUAAUAAUAUAGACUUGUGCUCGGUUUUAAUAUCUCUAUAGUUCAUUCUAGUUAACUAGGAGAAGUGGUAUUAGUGAUGUGACUCCAUAUUUUUCCUCAUUUAUUUUGUUUAGUUUUAAUAUUUGAUUAUAGAUGCUUGCCUUAUAUUGAGCUCUAAUUUCAGAAAAUAAGAGAACUUCACUGGUUCUAUAGCAGGAUUUUACAUGACCAAACCAAUGUUUGAUUAGCUUAUAUUUGAUUAUACUAUGUUUGAUUAGCUUAAUGGUCCAUUGAUUGUGAAGAAAACAUAAAAACUAAAUUCUUCUUUUGCUCAUUUUGGAUAUAGCAUGCUCUCUUUUAUGUUAGUAGACUUCCAAAUCUUUGAAGUUAGAACCUUCUUUGUUUACUCUAUGCAAGUAGGAUAUGAUCUUUUGAUCCAAACCAAUAGUA